rnacentral:rRNA from 1 species
GCUCAGGAUGAACGCUAGCGACAGGCCUAACACAUGCAAGUCGAGGGGUAACAUGAGAGCUUGCUCUUGAUGACGACCGGCGCACGGGUGAGUAACGCGUAUGCAACCUUCCUUUAACUGGAGAAUAGCCCCCGGAAACGGGGAUUAAUGCUCCAUGGCACUCUGAAUACGCCUGUAUUAAGAGUUAAAGCUCCGACGGUUAAAGAUGGGCAUGCGUGACAUUAGCUAGUUGGCGGGGUAACGGCCCACCAAGGCAACGAUGUCUAGGGGUUCUGAGAGGAAGGUCCCCCACACUGGUACUGAGACACGGACCAGACUCCUACGGGAGGCAGCAGUGAGGAAUAUUGGUCAAUGGACGCAAGUCUGAACCAGCCAUGUCGCGUGCAGGAUGACUGCCCUAUGGGUUGUAAACUGCUUUUAUACGGGAAGAAAGGUAUCUACGUGUAGAUAUUUGCCGGUACCGUACGAAUAAGCAUCGGCUAACUCCGUGCCAGCAGCCGCGGUAAUACGGAGGAUGCGAGCGUUAUCCGGAUUUAUUGGGUUUAAAGGGUGCGUAGGCGGAAUGGUAAGUCAGCGGUGAAAUACUGCAGCUCAACUGUAGAACUGCCGUUGAUACUGUCAUUCUUGAGUAUAGAUGAGGUAGGCGGAAUGAGUAGUGUAGCGGUGAAAUGCAUAGAUAUUACUCAGAACACCAAUUGCGAAGGCAGCUUACUAAACUAUAACUGACGCUGAAGCACGAAAGCGUGGGUAUCAAACAGGAUUAGAUACCCUGGUAGUCCACGCCGUAAACGAUGAUUACUGGUUGUUUGCGAUACACAGUAAGCGACUGAGCGAAAGCAUUAAGUAAUCCACCUGGGGAGUACGUUGGCAACAAUGAAACUCAAAGGAAUUGACGGGGGGCCGCACAAGCGGUGGAACCUGUGGUUUAAUUCGAUGAUA